rnacentral:rRNA from 1 species
GGUUAAGCGACUAAGCGUACACGGUGGAUGCCCUGGCAGUCAGAGGCGAUGAAGGACGUGCUAAUCUGCGAUAAGCGUCGGUAAGGUGAUAUGAACCGUUAUAACCGGCGAUUUCCGAAUGGGGAAACCCAGUGUGAUUCGUCACACUAUCAUUAACUGAAUCCAUAGGUUAAUGAGGCGAACCGGGGGAACUGAAACAUCUAAGUACCCCGAGGAAAAGAAAUCAACCGAGAUUCCCCCAGUAGCGGCGAGCGAACGGGGAGCAGCCCAGAGCCUGAAUCAGUGUGUGUGUUAGUGGAAGCGUCUGGAAAGGCGCGCGAUACAGGGUGACAGCCCCGUACACAAAAAUGCACAUGCUGUGAGCUCGAUGAGUAGGGCGGGACACGUGGUAUCCUGUCUGAAUAUGGGGGGACCAUCCUCCAAGGCUAAAUACUCCUGACUGACCGAUAGUGAACCAGUACCGUGAGGGAAAGGCGAAAAGAACCCCGGCGAGGGGAGUGAAAAAGAACCUGAAACCGUGUACGUACAAGCAGUGGGAGCCUCUUUAUGGGGUGACUGCGUACCUUUUGUAUAAUGGGUCAGCGACUUAUAUUCUGUAGCAAGGUUAACCGAAUAGGGGAGCCGAAGGGAAACCGAGUCUUAACUGGGCGUUAAGUUGCAGGGUAUAGACCCGAAACCCGGUGAUCUAGCCAUGGGCAGGUUGAAGGUUGGGUAACACUAACUGGAGGACCGAACCGACUAAUGUUGAAAAAUUAGCGGAUGACUUGUGGCUGGGGGUGAAAGGCCAAUCAAACCGGGAGAUAGCUGGUUCUCCCCGAAAGCUAUUUAGGUAGCGCCUCGUGAAUUCAUCUCCGGGGGUAGAGCACUGUUUCGGCAAGGGGGUCAUCCCGACUUACCAACCCGAUGCAAACUGCGAAUACCGGAGAAUGUUAUCACGGGAGACACACGGCGGGUGCUAACGUCCGUCGUGAAGAGGGAAACAACCCAGACCGCCAGCUAAGGUCCCAAAGUCAUGGUUAAGUGGGAAACGAUGUGGGAAGGCCCAGA